CCUACGGGGGGCAGCAGUGAGGAAUAUUGGUCAAUGGGCGCGAGCCUGAACCAGCCAAGCCGCGUGAAGGAUGACUGCCCUACGGGUUGUAAACUUCUUUUGUAAGGGAAUAAAGUGAGGUACGUGUGCCUUUUUGAAUGUACUUUAUGAAUAAGGAUCGGCUAACUCCGUGCCAGCAGCCGCGGUAAUACGGAGGAUCCGAGCGUUAUCCGGAUUUAUUGGGUUUAAAGGGUGCGUAGGCGGGUUGUUAAGUCAGUGGUGAAAGUCUGCGGCUCAACCGUAGAAAUGCAAUUGAUAACGGCAGGCUUGAGGAGAGGUGAGGUAGGCGGAAUGCGAGGUGUAGCGGUGAAAUGCCU
rnacentral:rRNA from 1 species